CAGCAACGGCGCGGAUUGCUGUGUGCUCAGAGAAGGUGUGCCACACGGUUGUAUAGGAAAAGGAUAUUGUUAAGGUUUAAUUUCAAGCAGCAAAUUGUUUCUUAGCACCUGGUCGAGGAGGGAACAAGCUCUUACGGUGUGUUCACAAGAAAGGCCGCACAAUAAAAGGAUUGUGAAACAUCA